rnacentral:rRNA from 1 species
GACGAACGCUGGCGGCGUGCUUAACACAUGCAAGUCGAACGGAACUCUUUGGAUCGAGACUUCGGUCAAGUGAAUCUGAGUUUAGUGGCGGACGGGUGAGUAACGCGUGAGGAACCUGCCUUUCAGAGGGGGACAACAGUUGGAAACGACUGCUAAUACCGCAUAACGCAUAGAGAUCGCAUGGUCUAUAUGCCAAAGAUUUAUCGCUGAAAGAUGGCCUCGCGUCUGAUUAGCUAGAUGGCGGGGUAACGGCCCACCAUGGCGACGAUCAGUAGCCGGUCUGAGAGGAUGAACGGCCACAUUGGGACUGAGAUACGGCCCAGACUCCUACGGGAGGCAGCAGUGGGGAAUAUUGCACAAUGGGCGAAAGCCUGAUGCAGCGACGCCGCGUGAGUGAUGAAGUAUUUCGGUAUGUAAAGCUCUAUCAGCAAGGAAGAUAAUGACGGUACUUGACUAAGAAGCCCCGGCU